GCAGUCGAGCGGCAGCGGGAAAGUAGCUUGCUACUUUUGCCGGCGAGCGGCGGACGGGUGAGUAAUGCCUGGGGAUCUGCCCAGUCGAGGGGGAUAACUACUGGAAACGGUAGCUAAUACCGCAUACGCCCUACGGGGGAAAGCAGGGGACCUUCGGGCCUUGCGCGAUUGGAUGAACCCAGGUGGGAUUAGCUAGUUGGUGAGGUAAUGGCUCACCAAGGCGACGAUCCCUAGCUGGUCUGAGAGGAUGAUCAGCCACACUGGAACUGAGACACGGUCCAGACUCCUACGGGAGGCAGCAGUGGGGAAUAUUGCACAAUGGGGGAAACCCUGAUGCAGCCAUGCCGCGUGUGUGAAGAAGGCCUUCGGGUUGUAAAGCACUUUCAGCGAGGAGGAGAGGUUGGUAGCGAAUAACUGCCAGCUGUGACGUUACUCGCAGAAGAAGCACCGGCUAACUCCGUGCCAGCAGCCGCGGUAAUACGGAGGG
rnacentral:rRNA from 1 species